CCUUAGAGAACCACGAUAACUGGCUGCCACAUCUGUACAGCCUCCCCACAAAUACGUACUGGACAAAUAAUGAGAUAAGCCACACCCUGGCCAUGUGGCCAUGUUCCUGGGGUGCCUGUCUUGAGUAGCCCUGCAGCUGCUCCUGAGAGUGGGUUGUUGACAUCGUAGACAUGGUAGAUGGUAUCUUCCUGACAUGCUGCUGAGUCUUUCUAAUGUCGAAGCUGAGACAAAGAGGCUGUUCACUCCUGCACGACUCUUGAGGGAAGAUCUUCUGAGAUGCUGUUCAGUGUCAGCACAGGGAUGAGCCCCCAGUCUCUAGAUGUGUGCUCCCCUCCAAGGACAAAAAAAAGGAUUAAAAGGCUGAGUGAGGAGCAGCUCUGGAGAGCAGCGACCCCAUCAGUACAAGUAUUUGAAGCAAGCCCAUAUAUUCCUAAUGCUGUAAGACACUGGGAGCACCACAUACAGAACAUUAGAGGUGGCCUGCCUGAAUGCAGCAUGCUUGGGAAAGGAGACAGAUAAUUGAGGUAUGCAUAUGCAAACAA